CAGCUUCUCGAAUCCAACCCACCAGCUCGAACCAGCCCGAUAGAAAAGGAAAAGAAAAAUCCAUCCCGCACAACCCACUAACCCCCCUCCCCCCAAACCACCUACUUUCCCGAUCCCAUCUCGUCGCCGCCCCAUGCCCCGCCUCCGUGCGCCACCAACCUUCGCCCCACCGCCGCGCGCCACCACCCCUUGCGUCGCGGCUGCGCGCCACCACCCCUCGCCCCACCGCCGAGAGCCACCAUCCCUCGCCCCGUCGCCGCACGCCGGUAAUCCCCGCCCCAUGGCGAACCGCGCCUCAACCACCGAUGACCUCCGCGUGAAGAUUUCCGGCGAUGAGAUCCGGCGUUUGCUUCUUCUGCGGGUAGAAGGCGGAGGAUCCAGCGGUGACGCCCACGCUAGGGAUGCAGAGGACACGCAUGACGCGCGAUGCAAGAUGGUGGUCAUGGGUGGUGAUGCACCUGUGUGCCACUCCAUCCAUGGCUGACCGCCGCUCGAAGCUGCCCCUGCAUGCCGUCGACUCAUCCACCCACUGCCCACUGCUUCCUCCCAUGUGGCCUUCUUCCUCUGUCCACUACUGGCUCGUCGGCAGUUCUUUUUCACCUACACCUGAAGGUCUGUGUUUCGGCAUCUCAUCCCCACAUCUUCGUAUAAUUGAUGCUUGCUUGACAGUUCAUAGACAAGAAUUUGAGCGGUGGUCUCUAGCAGUUGCGGAUCCAGAAAUUCAACUUUGGGCAUUCAAAUUUUUUUCUCACCCUAACAGAGUUGCAGUUCACGCAAUACAAAUUGUUCACAAUAGCAAUAAUAUCUUACUAGAAGAUUAACGAAAUUGUUCACUCUACUCCAUAAAGUUUUCAAAUCAAUGUCCUUCCUCCUAAGUUUUGAAUGUUAUACUGCCUACAAUUCAAAGACAAUUUAUUUGUUAUUUUUAUGCUAAUUAAAUCAACCAGAUCCUCACUCAUGUGACAUCUAUAGAUCUAUAUCUCUCUAUCCGAAAAUAAGCAACACACUUAGUUGCGGAAUUCACAACACAUUCUGUGAACAUUGCAAUUUCAGAAUUGGAAAAGGAUUUGCCUUGGGCUUAGAGAUUGAGGUUGUUGGCUACACUGGUAUGGCAUGGACGACUGCAGCCGCGCCGUUCGUCCGGUUGUCCCCACCUUCGGUGCAUCGCAAUCCCUGUUGGUGGCAGUGGGCGCGGCACCGCGCAGCUUGCCUUUGUCCUCCGUAGUGGUGAAAACCAUGGGAGGCUCCAUCCCGUUCGGCGUCGGUGGCUUGGUCAAGCUCUCCCUCGCCAUACUCGCCAUGGGCACACAGCAAGUCAGCAACGUGUCGCCGCCUAGUCCCUGGGCAGAUGAAAUCGAUGGCUGGCUGCAUGCGUGAAGACAGCUCACUGUUGCUUCCGAAAUGGCUACUAAUGGGCCUAUACAUUGUAGAUUAUUGUCUCUGUGAUACAUAUAUACGAUUUUUUUCAGAAAAUUUUGGGUGUACAUCUGUACACCCAUGACCAAUGGUGGAUCCGCCCCUGGUCUCUAGAUAUUCUCCUGAUAUAUGUCUAAACAGGACCAAAAUUUGCAUGUUUUCUGCUUGUAUGUUUGUGGUUGAACUAUUUAGCUUUUGAGCGAAGUUCAAACUUUCUAUGUGUGAAGGUUAAAUCAAAUUCAUCUUCGUAGCUAUGAGGUUCAGCCAAUUUUCUCGGCUACUGAAACUGAUCAUUUGAUAGGGAAUUCAAAAGAAACAACAUAUAUGAGCACACAUGAAUUUCUUUUGUUUGUUGUAGAUGGAGAUGUGUGUAUGUAUACAUGUGUUCUGGAGAUAGGAGAACUUGUCUGGUGGUGUGUGCGUGCUGCUGCAUCCUCUUCCGGCCUCUCUAAUUCACACCCUCGUUCAAUUUAUAAAUUUCAUUCAGUUUGGCGAGGUGGGGUGUGGCCGUGUGUCUGGUGACGGCCCGCCGCAACGUCAUCGGCCGGAUCCCGCUCUUAAGUCCCGAACUGAAGCAUGUUGGCAAGCCGGGCGUUGGGCCAACCACUGUCGUUUGUCUACCUCCUUCCCCGGUGAGCCCAUGCUCUUCUGCUCUUGACGCUUGAGCCGCCUGCAAUUAUUUUCUCUGUUCGAAAAUUCCCAAAGCAUCAGUACUUUGUAUCAGGAUACACCAUGUUAUUUCUACAAAUUUCCAUUAUGCUUGUAUGUCCAAAAUGUGUACAUUUACUGCUUUUGAUUUGUUGUAGUGCAGAGAAGUUACCCAGUUGCGGGUUGACCUGGAGGCUCCUUCUCCACGUCGACACAGUUGCAGGACCAACGUGCUACUGACCGCGCAAGCUUUCUCAAGGAGCUCGUGUCUAACGAUACUGAAAGGAAAAAUGGAGUGAAAGUGCUACUACUUUAGUUUUGAACUUCUUAUUCAGUCAUGCUAUUACUGAGUGAAAAAUGGAGUGAAAGUGUAUUGCAAUUGAUCCCUCUUAGACCGUGGAAAUCCUCUAUUUAUCCUUUGUUUGCUUGUUUUUUGGUCUGUAAUUCAAGAACUUUGACCUUCUUAAUUUGGUUUUUGGUUAAUUUA